AUGGGUUUUCGCUUACCUGGUAUUAGACGAUCAUCGUUUAGUGCAAGCCAAGCAUCUAGAAAAGAAGUGGGAGUCCCAAAAGGCUAUCUUGCCGUUUAUGUUGGAGAGAAUGCAAGGAGGUUCUUGAUUCCAGUAUCGUUCUUGAACGAACCUUUGUUUCAAGAAUUGCUUAGUCAAGCUGAAGAGGAAUUUGGUUACUGUCACCCAAUGGGUGGUCUUACAAUUCCCUGCAAGGAAGAUAUCUUCAUACAAACAACUUCUCGCUUGAACAACCUAUAA